AGUCUGAUGGAGCAACGCCGCGUGAGUGAAGAAGGUUUUCGGAUCGUAAAGCUCUGUUGUUGGUGAAGAAGGAUAGAGGUAGUAACUGGCCUUUAUUUGACGGUAAUCAACCAGAAAGUCACGGCUAACUACGUGCCAGCAGCCGCGGUAAUACGUAGGUGGCAAGCGUUGUCCGGAUUUAUUGGGCGUAAAGCGAGCGCAGGCGGAAGAAUAAGUCUGAUGUGAAAGCCCUCGGCUUAACCGAGGAACUGCAUCGGAAACUGUUUUUCUUGAGUGCAGAAGAGGAGAGUGGAACUCCAUGUGUAGCGGUGGAAUGCGUAGAUAUAUGGAAGAACACCAGUGGCGAAGGCGGCUCUCUGGUCUGCAACUGACGCUGAGGCUCGAAAGCAUGGGUAGCGAACAGGAUUAGAUACCCUGGUAGUCCAUGCCGUAAACGAUGAGUGCUAAGUGUUGGGAGGUUUCCGCCUCUCAGUGCUGCAGCUAACGCAUUAAGCACUCCGCCUGGGGAGUACGACCGCAAGGUUGAAACUCAAAGGAAUUGACGGGGGCCCGCACAAGCGGUGGAGCAUGUGGUUUAAUUCGAAGCAACGCGAAGAACCUUACCAGGUCUUGACAUCUAGUGCCAUUUGUAGAGAUACAAAGUUCCCUUCGGGGACGCUAAGACAGGUGGUGCAUGGCUGUCGUCAGCUCGUGUCGUGAGAUGUUGGGUUAAGUCCCGCAACGAGCGCAACCCUUGUUAUUAGUUGCCAGCAUUAAGUUGGGCACUCUAAUGAGACUGCCGGUGACAAACCGGAGGAAGGUGGGGAUGACGUCAAGUCAUCAUGCCCCUUAUGACCUGGGCUACACACGUGCUACAAUGGGCAGUACAACGAGAAGCGAGCCUGCGAAGGCAAGCGAAUCUCUGAAAGCUGUUCUCAGUUCGGACUGCAGUCUGCAACUCGACUGCACGAAGCUGGAAUCGCUAGUAAUCGCGGAUCAGCACGCCGCGGUGAAUACGUUCCCGGGCCUUGUACACACCGCCCGUCACACCAUGGGAGUCUGCAAUGCCCAAAGCCGGUGGCCUAACCUUCGGGAAGGAGCCGUCUAAGGCAGGGCAGAUGACUGGGGUGAAGUCGUAACAAGGUAGCCGUAGGAGAACCUGCGGCUG
rnacentral:rRNA from 1 species